rnacentral:misc_RNA from 1 species
GAGGUAAAAGUCGUAACAAGGUCUCCGUUGGUGAACCAGCGGAGGGGUCAUUACCGAGUGCAAACUCAUAACCCUUUGUGAACCUAUAUCUGUUGCUUCGGCGGCUCGCUCUCGGGCGAGCCCGCCGGUAAUGUCAGUAUCUCUGUUUGAACCCGACGAUACUUCUGAGUGUUCUUAGCGAACAGUUAAAACUUUUAACAACGGAUCUCUUGGCUCCA